rnacentral:rRNA from 1 species
AUUGAACGCUGGCGGCAGGCCUAACACAUGCAAGUCGGACGGUAGCACAGAGAGCUUGCUCUCGGGUGACGAGUGGCGGACGGGUGAGUAACGUCUGGGAAACUGCCCGAUGGAGGGGGAUAACUACUGGAAACGGUAGCUAAUACCGCAUAACGUCGCAAGACCAAAGUGGGGGACCUUCGGGCCUCACACCAUCGGAUGUGCCCAGAUGGGAUUAGCUAGUAGGUGGGGUAAUGGCUCACCUAGGCGACGAUCCCUAGCUGGUCUGAGAGGAAGACCAGCCACACUGGAACUGAGACACGGUCCAGACUCCUACGGGAGGCAGCAGUGGGGAAUAUUGCACAAUGGGCGCAAGCCUGAUGCAGCCAUGCCGCGUGUAUGAAGAAGGCCUUCGGGUUGUAAAGUACUUUCAGCGGGGAGGAAGGCGGUGAAGUUAACAGCUUCACCGAUUGACGUUACCCGCAGAAGAAGCACCGGCUAACUCCGUGCCAGCCGCCGCAGUAA